AUAAAUCUAAAGUUUGGUUAUCACAUUACAAUAAGUGAUAUAACUCUUGUAUCUCAUCUAGGAUACAACAAGAUAAUUUUCAAUUCAUAACACUACUUUAAGGAAAUAGUAUAUUAAAAAGGCAUUCUUCACAUUACAUUAAUAUGAUAUUUCAAACAUUCAUAAUGUUUAAUACAAAAAGUAUUAGCUCUAUACAUUUAGAGACUAAUAUAAAUACCUUUAUACAUUUAGGCAAUAAUAGUGAUCUUCCAUCAUAUGAAGCCACAUAAUAAGUUCUUAACAAAAUAAGAAAGUUUAAAGACUAUCUUUAAUGCCUAACAAACUUCCUAAGUAGUAAGCAAAAAAUAUAGUGGCCGAACCCUUCACCACAUUUUCCUUGCUUGUUCCUCUUCUACUUGGCUUCUCCACCUAUAUACAAUUAUACAAGUGAUUAGCUCUUUAUAUCAAAUAUAAAUAUUUAGAAGAUCUAACAGUUAGAAUUGAAGAUAAGAACAUAAACCAUACCUUGUGGCUU
rnacentral:lncRNA from 1 species